CGCACAUUGCGCCCUUUGGCAUUCCGAAGGGCAUGCCCGUUCGAGCGUCAUUAAACCCCAUCAAGUCUGACUUGGCAUUGGGCGUCGGGGGUAGACUCCGCGCCUCAAUUUCACCGGCUGGCCAUCGCCUGUCUUAGCGUUGUGACACAUUUUCGCCAAGGGAGACGAUGGUGCGCGCCGUUAAACCACACAAAUUUGAUUAAGAAUUUGAACAAGGUUGACCUCGGAUCGGGUAGGAAUACCCGCUGAACUUAA
rnacentral:misc_RNA from 1 species